AGUUUGAUCAUGGCUCAGAUUGAACGCUGGCGGCAAGCCUAACACAUGCAAGUCGAGCGGCAUCGUGUAUACUUUAUUGUACAUGACGGCGAGCGGCAAACGGGUGAGUAAUAUCUGGGGAUCUACCUAAAUGAGGGGGAUAACCAUUGGAAACGAUGGCUAAUACCGCAUAAAGUUUAGCAACCAAAGGUGGGGGACCGAAAGGCCUCAUGCGUUUAGAUGAACCCAGACGAGAUUAGCUUGAUGGUAAGGUAAAUGCUUACCAUGGCAACGAUCUCUAGCUGGUCUGAGAGGAUGGCCAGCCACACUGGAACUGAGACACGGUCCAGACUCCUACGGGAGGCAGCAGUGGGGAAUAUUGCACAAUGGGCGAAAGCCUGAUGCAGCUAUGCCGCGUGUAUGAAGAAGGCCUUAGGGUUGUAAAGUACUUUCAGCAAGGAAGAAGUAAUUAAAGUUAAUAUCUUUAAUUAUUGACGUUACUUGCAAAAGAAGCACCGGCUAACUCCGUGCCAGCAGCCGCGGUAAUACGGAGGGUGCUAGCGUUAAUCGGAAUUACUGGGCGUAAAGAGCUCGUAGGUGGUUUUAUAAGUCAGAUGUGAAAUCCCUGGGCUUAACCUAGGAACUGCAUUUGAAACUGUAAUUCUAGAGUAUCGUAGAGGGAGGUAGAAUUCUAGGUGUAGCGGUGAAAUGCGUAGAUAUCUGGAGGAAUACCAGUGGCGAAAGCGGCCUCCUGGACGAAUACUGACGCUGAGGAGCGAAAGCGUGGGGAGCAAACAGGAUUAGAUACCCUGGUAGUCCACGCUGUAAACGAUGUCGACUUGGAGGUUGUUUCCUUAGAGUAGUAACUUCCGAAGCUAACGCGUUAAGUCGACCGCCUGGGGAGUACGGUCGCAAGGCUAAAACUCAAANGAAUUGACGGGGGCCCGCACAAGCGGUGGAGCAUGUGGUUUAAUUCGAUGCAACGCGAAAAACCUUACCUGGUCUUGACAUCCAUAGAAUUUUAUAGAAAUAUAGAAGUGCCUUAGGGAACUAUGAGACAGGUGCUGCAUGGCUGUCGUCAGCUCGUGUUGUGAAAUGUUGGGUUAAGNCCCGCAACGAGCGCAACCCUUGUCCUUUGUUGCCAACAGGUUAANCUGGGAACUCAGAGGAGACUGCUGGUUAUAAACCGGAGGAAGGUGGGGACGACGUCAAGUCAUCAUGGCCCUUACGACCAGGGCUACACACGUGCUACAAUGGUGCAUACAAAGAGAAGCAACUCUGUAAAGAUAAGCAAACCUCAUAAAGUGCAUCGCAGUCCGGACUGGAGUCUGCAACUCGACUCCACGAAGUCGGAAUCGCUAGUAAUCGUGGAUCAGANUGUCACGGUGAAUACGUUCCCGGGCCUUGUACACACCGCCCGUCACACCAUGGGAGUGGGUUGCAAAAGAAGCAGGUAUUCUAACCAAGUUUAUUUGGAAGUAGCCUACCACUUUGUGNUUCAUGACUGNGGUGAAGUCGUAACAAGGUA
rnacentral:rRNA from 1 species